GUUCGUGAGGUGUUCCGGUUCGGGGGUGAGAGGCAGAGAUGGCGGCGUCGGAUGUUGAGUACCGCUGCUUCGUCGGCGGCCUCGCCUGGGCCACGGACGACAACUCGCUCCACAACGCCUUCAGCCCCUUCGGCGAGGUCCUGGAGUCCAAGGUUAGGAUGAUUUCCUUUGGGGGUGGAGAACAAAACGAGAUUUUUGAAGGGGAAAUGGGGGGAACUGUCCAGAUCUGUGGUGGCGGAGGGUUUGGUGUGCUAGAUCUGAAGUGUUUCUGACAUGAUGCCUUGGCUUUCCCUUGCAGAUCAUCCUCGAUCGCGAGACCCAAAGGUCCCGCGGCUUCGGCUUCGUCACGUUCGCGAGCGAGCAGGCGAUGCGCGACGCCAUCGAGGGGAUGAACGGCAAGGAUCUCGACGGCCGCAGCAUCACCGUCAACGAGGCCCAGUCCCGCAGCGGCGGCGGCGGCUACGGUGGCGGCCGCGGCGGCGGCGGGCGCUACGGCGGCGGUGGUGGCGGCUAUGGCGGCGGUGGCUACGGCGGCGGCGGCGGCGGCUACGGUGGCCGUGGAGGCGGCGGCUACGGUGGCCGUGGAGGCGGCGGCUACGGCGGCGGCGGCGGCGGCGGCUACGGCAACCGCGGCGGCGGCGGCUACGGCAACUCUGAUGGGAACUGGAGGAACUGAGCGGUGGGGCCCGCGUGGCCAAGUUAUCUUGUCGCUACUACUGUUACCAGAGUUAUCCCUAUGUGUCUAGUGUCUUCGUCGUCGUCUCCGAC
rnacentral:lncRNA from 1 species